rnacentral:tRNA from 1 species
GAGGGUAUAGUUCAGUAGUAGAGUGCCUGCUUAGCAUGCAUGAGGUCCUGGGUUCAAUCCCCAGUACCUCCA